GAUGAAGAACGUAGCGAAAUGCGAUAAGUAAUGUGAAUUGCAGAAUUCAGUGAAUCAUCGAAUCUUUGAACGCACCUUGCGCCCUUUGGCUAUUCCAAAGGGCAUGCCUGUUUGAGUAUCAUGAACACCUCAACUCUCAUGGUCUGCCAUGAUGAGCUUGGACUUUGGAGGUCUGCUGGCCUGUGGUCAGCUCCUCUCAAAUGAAUCAGCUUUCCGGUGUUUGGUGGCAUCAUGGGUGUGAUAAAUAUCUACGCUUGUGGUUUUCCACCAGGUAACCUUCAGUGAUGGGGGUUCGCUGGGGCUCAUAAAUGUCUCUCCUCAGCGAAGACAGCUUUGUGAAUGUUUGAUCUCAAAUCAGGUAGGACUACCCGCUGAACUUAAGCAUAUCAAUAAGGGAGGA
rnacentral:misc_RNA from 1 species